CGAAGGUACCUACGGGAGGCUGCAGUGGGGAAUAUUGCACAAUGGGCGAAAGCCUGAUGCAGCGACGCCGCGUGCGCGAUGAAGGUCUUCGGAUCGUAAAGCGCUUUUCUGGGGGAUGAGGAAGGACAGUACCCCAGGAAUAAGUCUCGGCUAACUACGUGCCAGCAGCCGCGGUAACACGUAGGACGCAAGCGUUAUCCGGAAUUACUGGGCGUAAAGGGCGUGUAGGCGGCACGGUAAGUCAACCGUGAAAGCUCCCGGCUAAACUGGGAGAGGUCGGAUGAGACUGCCGAGCUAGAGGGUCGUAGAGGGGUGUGGAAUUCCGGGUGUAGUGGUGAAAUGCGUAGAGAUCCGGAGGAACACCAGAGGCGAAGGCGGCACCCUGGACGACACCAGACGCUGAGACGCGACAGCACGGGGAGCGAACGGGAUUAGAAACCCCGGUAGUCCGUGCCGUAAACGAUGUGCACUAGAUGUUCGGUCCUCUACGGGGGAGUGAGCGUCGCAGCCAACGCGGUAAGUGCACCGCCUGGGGAGUACGGUCGCAAGGCUAAAACUCAAAGGAAUUGACGGGGGCCCGCACAAGCGGUGGAGCAU
rnacentral:rRNA from 1 species